CCUGGAUCACUCCUGUGGUCACAGAGGCAGGACGGGAGGAGGGGACACCAGAACAAAGGAAAUCUGAAACGUGUACACGGGGCAGGGCCUCCACCCCGCCAGUGAACUAAGAGUCAAACCCAACGCUGCAGAGAGGACGAUAGUGCCAGGCGCUGGGGAAGAAGAAAGGACGAGCUGCUGAUCACCAGGUCACAAGGACAGAUGGUGACGCAGGACAGUUCCCGGUGGGCACGCCAUGGAGCCACCGUGAGCACUGACCUGGUGAAGGCUGAGCCCUGCUCCCGGGGCCACAGCCGGUCGCGGUCUCCUCGACUGCUGCUAGGCCUCCUCGGGCUCCCCGUGCUUCCUCUAAAGACAGCUCCUCAGCAGCGCCCAGGCCCGCUCCCUCGGAACCUGUGUCCCCAGCACACACACGUCCUCCAGGACCCUCUCCGCCCCUUGCCCUUAGGAACGCGGGACAACUCCGGCACCACUCUUGGGGCGAUUUCAAACACCACGGUCACUAACAAGAGCAUAAAAAUGAGGAAAAUGUGAUGCAGAUCGACUGCGCAGGGGGCUUGUUUGCAGUGUGCGCGUCUCUGUCCCAGCUGGACCGGCGACACUCGGCCCAGGCCUCACUGCUCUGCGCACUCGGUGCUAAAAUGUUGGCAGCUUACAGAUGAACUUUACCAAGUGGGCUGUGAGGGCUGGACCCUGCUUCUCCAAACUUCUCAUGCCAAGCUCUGGCCCCCAGAGCCACCGUGUUUGGAGGCUGGGCUUGAAGGAGUUGAUGAGGGUGAACUGAGGUCACACAGGUGAGGUCCUGCCAACAGGACAGGACGGGGUCCUCGCAGGAGGAGGAGGCAGCAGAAGCGUCCUUCCUACCCUGAGCAGGAUCCUGGAAGAAGGCAGCAUCCCCGCGCGGGCGAGAGGAGUCGGCUGGAAACCUCCCACCUCGGACGGGGACCUUAGCCUCCAGAACUGCGAGAACCUGUUCCUCUGCCCUUUAAGCCCCCCGUGGGCCUGGCCUUCCUUCCUUCCCCAGCCCAGCGCACCAGCACCGAGGCCGCCUCACCCCUGCGCAACUCGCACCCCUGGAGGCCGAGCGCUCCUCCGCAGCAGCCGCUCUUCUCUCCUGCUCGGCGACGCUGCCUUUCCCACGGGGACACUC